rfam:Populus trichocarpa scaffold_10_contig_14, whole genome shotgun sequence.
UCUAGAACUCGAGAUAUGGGCUGAACACUGAACAAUAUCUGGGCUGCAGGACCGAUUCCGACUUCUCCGUUGUUGCUACCGUUUAAACUCGAAAAUGACACUUUUAAAUCUUGGACUCUUUAUGAAAGUUUUAGGCCUAUGUCUUAGCUUUCCAUA